AAGUUUCGCACUUUUGUGGACGUGGUGUCGGGCCGGACGGCGGUGGGCCACGACGCCGAGGGGAGGCUGGUCCUGUUCCACAUCGACGGGCAGACGGGAGUCAGGGGAAUGAAUCUUUGGGAGAUGGCUGAGUCUCUGAAGAGUUACGGAGUCGUUAACGCCAUCAAUCUGGACGGAGGCGGCUCCUCCACCUUCGUGAUCAACGGCUCGUUAGCAAGCUACCCCUCCGAUCACUGUAAGCCUGACAGCAGGUGGCGCUGUGCUCGUCAAGUCUCCACCGUGCUGUGUGUUCACCGGCGGCGCUGCCAGCCUGCAGACUGCAGCG